UGUCUUUGUGGUGAAUUUAUCACGCUACCUUUUCGAGGUAGAAUAGAAAAUAAUUUCCUUAGAU
rnacentral:tRNA from 1 species